CCUACGGGGAGCAGCAGUGGGGAAUAUUGCACAAUGGGGGAAACCCUGAUGCAGCGACGCCGCGUGAGUGAAGAAGUAUUUCGGUAUGUAAAGCUCUAUCAGCAGGGAAGAAAAUGACGGUACCUGACUAAGAAGCCCCGGCUAACUACGUGCCAGCAGCCGCGGUACUACGUAGGGGGCAAGCGUUAUCCGGAUUUACUGGGUGUAAAGGGAGCGUAGACGGCCAGACAAGUCAGAAGUGAAAGCCCAGGGCGCAACCCUGGGACUGCUUUUGAAACUGCCGGGCUGGAGUGCAGGAGAGGUAAGCGGAAUUCCUAGUGUAGCGGUGAAAUGCGUAGAUAUUAGGAGGAACACCAGUGGCGAAGGCGGCUUACUGGACUGUAACUGACGUUGAGGCUCGAAAGCGUGGGGAGCAAACAGGAUUAGAUACCCCAGUAGUC
rnacentral:rRNA from 1 species